ensembl:miRNA
UCCGUGGCCCCUGAUGCGGAGCUGAUGAGCGGCCACAGCCCGCACCACGGCCGCGGAGGC